GCUGCCAGGUGCGUGGGAGCCUGUUUCUAUCAACAAGAAAUAGUCUAAAUAGUGAAUGACUGAUGGACACCUGAUUAUGUUCAGGAGCAGCCAGCAGAGUGUUUCUGCGAAGAUAUCAAAUAGUGUAGGGCUGCUCCUAGAAACGUGAGCUGUGUUGUGAAAUAGUAUUUGCCUCUCCAUUGUACGCCAUGUAUGUGCCAUAGUGACGGGUGAAUAGGUAGGAGUUUGAAAGCAUUA